rnacentral:rRNA from 1 species
CCUACGGGAGGCAGCAGUGGGGAAUAUUGCACAAUGGGGGAAACCCUGAUGCAGCGACGCCGCGUGAGUGAAGAAGUAAUUCGUUAUGUAAAGCUCUAUCAGCAGGGAAGAAAAUGACGGUACCUGAGUAAGAAGCCCCGGCUAACUACGUGCCAGCAGCCGCGGUAAUACGUAGGGGGCAAGCGUUAUCCGGAUUUACUGGGUGUAAAGGGAGCGUAGACGGCAGUGCAAGUCUGUCGUGAAAGGCGGGGGCUCAACCCCCGGACUGCUCUGGAAACUGUACGGCUGGAGUGCAGGAGAGGUAAGUGGAAUUCGUAGUGUAGCGGUGAAAUGCGUAGAUAUUAGGAGGAACACCGGUGGCGAAGGCGGCUUACUGGACCGUAACUGACGUUGAGGCUCGAAAGCGUGGGGAGCGAACAGGAUUAGAUACCCGGGUAGUC